CCUACGGGAGGCAGCAGUGAGGAAUAUUGGUCAAUGGACGAGAGUCUGAACCAGCCAAGUAGCGUGAAGGAUGACUGCCCUAUGGGUUGUAAACUUCUUUUAUAUGGGAAUAAAAUGUUCCACGUGUGGGAUUUUGUAUGUACCAUAUGAAUAAGGAUCGGCUAACUCCGUGCCAGCAGCCGCGGUAAUACGGAGGAUCCGAGCGUUAUUCGGAUUUAUUGUGUUUAGAGGGAGCGUAGGUGGAUUGUUAAGUCAGUUGUGAAAGUUUGGGGCUCAACCGUAAAAUUGCAGUUGAAACUGGCAGUCUGGAGUACAGUAGAGGUGAGCGGAAUUCGUGGUGUAGCGGUGAAAUGCUGAGAUAUCACGAAGAACUCCGAUGGCGAAGGCAGCUCACUGGACUGCAACUGACACUGAGGCUCGAAAGUGUGGGUAUCAAACAGGAUUAGAUACCCUUGUAGUC
rnacentral:rRNA from 1 species